rnacentral:rRNA from 1 species
GACGAACGCUGGCGGCGUGCUUAACACAUGCAAGUCGAACGAAGUGGCGAACGGGUGAGUAACGCGUAAUCAACCUGCCCUUCAGAGGGGGACAACAGUUGGAAACGACUGCUAAUACCGCAUACUGAAGGAGGGGAUUGCGUUUGAUUAGCUAGUUGGAGGGGGAACGGCCCAACAAGGCGAUGAUAAGUAGCCGGUCUGGGGAGAUGAACCGCCACAUUGGGACUGGGACACGGGCCCGACUCCUACGGGAGGCAGCAGGUGGGAAUCUUCCGCAAUGGACGAAAGUCUGACGGAGCAACGGCGCGUGAGGGAUGACGGCCUUCGGGUUGUAAAGCUCUGUUAAGCGGGACGCGGUACCGGAAUAGAAAGCCACGGCUAACUACGUGCCAGCCGCCGCGGUAAUUC